rnacentral:hammerhead_ribozyme from 1 species
GUACUACUGAUGAGACCAAACCAGGUGGAAACAACUGUCCAGUGC